rnacentral:lncRNA from 1 species
AGUCAACUUCUUCCUUGGACUCACUGGUAAAAGGGGAUCUGAAAGAGGUCAAAGGUGUAAGUUGAAAUCUGCAAUACAAGCGAUCCACUUGAAGUGACAUUUUUCUUGUGUUUGCUUUGUAAAUGUUACCAUCAGAUAAAUGUGGAUAAAUCUGGCUUUAACUAAUUUUAUAAGUUAAGAUAAUUAAAUCAGAUUCAAACCAUUUGUAUGAAUAUUACAUUUGACCUGACAUUUUUGAUAGUACCCCACAUACCAUUAUAGCAAAUAAUUACCAUCUUCUUAUACAGUACCAUGGUAUUCACACGGCACUAUAAGAUACCAAAAAUUAAAUGACAAUGGUGUCCAAAAAAUAUGGUAAUACCAUGCAACUUUUUCAUACUUUUGUUGCUUUAUUAGUGCUCCUGGUGUAUACUGUAUGAUGCAAAUAUAGAUGAAGUGUGCAGGAUAUUUUCCCAGAAGGCAACAAGGCAUAUGUGUUCCCUGCCUGUGCAUGUAGAAAUCUAUUACAUAGAUCAUUACCAUAAGCACAGUGUUUAAUGUGAGCAGAUGAGACCUAUGAUAAGACAGACUUCUCUUAAUUCUUCUCUUUCUGUCUUGAUGCUCUUGUCUUUUACCAUAAGAUGAUGUAAGUCUGACUCUGUUCUAACUCCUUGUUUUCAUCUUGUCAGGACCUGAAAAAGCCUUUUGACAAGGCGUGGAGAGAUUAUGAGAAUAAAUUCUCUAAAAUCGAAAAAGAGAAGAGGGAACUGGCGAAGCAGUAUGGUAUGGUGCGCACAGAGGUGAGCGGAGGAGAGAUUGCAGAAGAGAUGGAGAAAGAGCGUAGGAUGUUCCAGCUACAGAUGUGUGAAUACCUUAUUAAAGUAAAUGAAAUUAAGACCAAGAAAGGAGUAGACCUGCUACAGAACCUCAUCAAACACUACCACUCUCAAUGCAAUUUCUUCCAGGAGUGUUUGGCUGCAACGGAAAAACUCAAGCAGUACAUAGAUGUCCUGACGGGGAUCAGCCCUCUGUGUGUGUGUGUGUGUGUGUGUGUGUGUGUGUGUGUUUAGUGUGUGUGUGUGUGUGUGUGUGUGUGUGUGUGUGUGUGUUUUAUUGGGAGGCAUGGUCAUGUGGUGGAGCAGCUAAUUUGUAUUCAGAUCACAUCUCACUUUGCAGCAAUGAAGCUCAGGAUGAGCAUGACAUUGGCCCCAAUCACUCAGUCCAUCAUAUAGAUCCCCAGUGUAUUAAUAUUUCUUCAUAUAAGCUACCAUCUUAUAAGCUAGGUCUUUAUUUUUAAAAUUGAAAAGUACUGAGGAUCCUUCACAUUCUUUGUUCAUUCUCAGCCAAAUAUAUCUCAGUGAGUAGAUUGCUCAUGCUGAGCAGCAAAUGACUUUUGGGCGAUUGUUCUGUGUCUUUAUGGCAUCCCAUCAUCCCCCAAGCUAACACAGUGCAUUCAUAAUAUUUCUUCAUCUCCUUGUACAUGCUUUGUAUAGUCAGCCCAAAUCAAUAGUUUGAAGGCUAAAAAUAGUUAAGUCGAUCAUCGCAAUACAUGCACACCCACACUGACUCACAUCUUAGAUAUAAAAUUCCAUCCUGCUGAAAAACUCUUCUUUAAACAUCCUAAUGUGGAUUAAGUUGGUCUAGUUGGACUCUUGGUCUGGUUUAUCUGGUUAACCUUCUGAUUUCCUUGCUUGACCAGCUGAUAAGCAUCCAAAAUUCCUCUUAAAGUACCUAGCAACCAGGAUUGUUUCUGUUAACUGAAACUAUUAAAACGUUUUUUAAUUGGCAUAGAGCUGAAAUGAUAUAUAUAUAACUAUAACUGAAAAAAAAAAUUAAUCUAAAUAAAUAAAACUGACAAAAGUACAAAAAGAGCUAAAAAUAUAAAAUAAACUAAAUGUAUAAUGAUAACUGGAAAUAUAAAAGUAAAAGCUAAUUAAAAAUAUAAAUAAAUAAAUGCUAUAACAGUAUAUAAAUGUAGAUCCUUUUACAUCCCAGUUUUUCAUUUUAGACCACAAAGAACCACAACAGAGCGGCUUUUGUUUGCUUUGAUCACGGCAUAUCAAGUUUACCAGCCUUCACUGCUAUACCUCACACUGACUCAGAGAAAAAUCAGCACUGAAAGCAGCUGGUAACAGUAAAUUUAUGGCUGAUAAAGCAGACAGCUUUUUUCAGCUGCAGUGAUGUUGUGAGUGACAGACAACUUAAUGAAAGGGCCAUUGUCUUACCCUAAGCCUAAGUAAUCACGCUUAGAAAAACACGGCUGGAGGAAUGUUCAUGGAUCUGUAGUAAGUUAAGUAGUGUGUGUGUGUGUGUGUGUGUGUGUGUGUGUGUGUGUGUGUGUGUGUGUGUGUGUGUUUUUAUGUAGAUCAAACAUAAGCAGGAUGAUGAGAAGAGACAGCUCUGUUCUCUCAGAGAUCAGCUCAGACCUGCUCUGCAGCCCGAAUUCAAAGAGGUAAAGAACGACACUCUAUUUGCACUUCAUUCCUAAUAUAUGUACUAUGUUGACUGUUGUAGGUGCAAGAAACCUUUGCCAACAUUUUAAGUGUGCUG